rnacentral:lncRNA from 1 species
CUUAUCGUUCACCCUAAGGAAACCCAGCGCCUAACGGUUUUCGUCACCCAGCUGACCUUCGAGUUCUUUCUUUUGUCCUACUCCAAACUCUUGUUUAACCUUCCACCCAACCCCUUCUCUCAGAUUUCGUACUAUUCUUGACCCCUCACUUCUCAGAACUUAAGUCUUACGGAUGAAGGGAAAAGAUAUGUGGAUGUUUAGGAUGCAAGAUUUAUUUUUAUGAAGACAGACAAAAGUUGGCAGAUUUCAUCACUUUCAUCACUCUCCAGUGCUAGUUAAAAAACUGUAUUUCCGAGUUGGAGAAAAUUUGUUUUUGGUGAAAAGAAGCUGUUUGAAGAAAGCUCUUAAAAGAAGAAAAAGCAAAAUUAAGAGACUUAUCAGAAGGAAAAGUGAAUGCAAGGUAAAAAAGAAACAAAGCACUAGCUCUCUUAAAAUAUUAUUCUUUGCUCCUAUACCCCA